rnacentral:rRNA from 1 species
UACGUAGGGUGCAAGCGUUGUCCGGAAUUAUUGGGCGUAAAGAGCUCGUAGGCGGUUAGUCACGUCGGCUGUGAAAACCUGGGGCUCAACCCCGGGCCUGCAGCCGAUACGGGCUAGCUAGAGUUCGGCAGGGGAGACUGGAAUUCCUGGUGUAGCGGUGAAAUGCGCAGAUAUCAGGAGGAACACCGGUGGCGAAGGCGGGUCUCUGGGCCGAUAUUGACGCUGAGGAGCGAAAGCGUGGGGAGCAAACAGG